GCUUUUGAAGGAUGGUUUCGGCCUCGGAGAAUUUGGAGCGGAUUUCGAAGAGGGCAUGCUCUCGUUCGGAGGUGCGGGAUGUGGCCUUGAGGGUGGCGGUGCGUAGUUUGGGGAGUAGGCCUUGGAUCAAUUCUGGGUUUUCAUUCUCUUUCUUCCCGUUCGUUUCUUUUCCAUUGGUCAAUUCCUUGAGUUCAAUGGACACAGGUUGAGAUGGAUGUCUCUCAGAACAUG
rnacentral:ribozyme from 12 species